GGCAUCACAGUGCAGUUGGUUAAAGCACCUGCCUAGGAAACAGGAGGUCCUGGGUUCAAAUCCCAGAGGUGCCU
rnacentral:tRNA from 1 species